rnacentral:lncRNA from 1 species
AUGGGCCUUUUGCAACAAAACCAUUCCCCUGGAAAGGUGACUUCCUUCCCCCAAUCAGGCACAAAUAUCUCUAGAGAAAAUGAGAGAGCUGUUGUCCUUAAUUAUGAUAUUUGCAGGAAAACAAACAAACAGAUUUAUCCAGGUCAGAAGCAGCAAGACCAAGUAGAUGCCUGUAGGGGCAUAUGGUUUCUCAUAUCACAAGCCAAAACCUAAGCAAAGCAUUUUUUAAAAUUAGGAUUUGACUUUUCCUUCCUUUUUAAAAAACACAGAGGUAAAUACACAUUCAUUUAAAUGAGUAUAAAUAUAAAAUGGGUAAAGAUAUGUUUUUAAUCACUCAUUUCCACCAUCCAGAGACUGCCAAUGGCAACAUGAUAUAUAUCCUCAAUGUUUUUCUAUAUGUACUAUAUAUAAACCUGUAUGAUCUUUUAAAACAAAUAUAAGAUCACACUCUUUUAUAACUUGCAUUUUCCAUUUAACAAAAUCCUGACUUCCCAUGUCUGUAGAUGGAUGGACUUCCCUGGUGGUUCAGAUGGUAAAGAAUCUGCCUGCAGUGCAGAAGACCNNNNNNNNNNNNNNNNNNNNNNAAGAUCCCCUGGAGAAGGGAAUGGCAACCCACUCCAGUAUUCUUGGCUGAAGAAUUCUAUGGACAGAGGAGCCCUGUAGGCUACAGUCCAUAGGUGGUGAAGAAUUGGACACGACUGAUUGACUAACACUUUUCAUGUCUGUAGAUAUCCAUUUGUUUUCAAUAUUUCAUUGUAUUUCUGUACUAUAAUUUAUUUAAACAAUCCACUAUUAGAUUGUCUCCAGUUUCUAAUAAACAAUGUGAUAUCACAUGCGAUGUUAGAGCUAAAUCAGUUUAAAGUGAAGUCACUCAGUUGCGUCCGACUCUUUGGGACCCCAUGGACUGCCUAUCAGGUUCCUCCAUCCGUGGGAUUUUCCAAGCAAAGAUACUGGAGUGGGUUGUCAUUUCACUCUUAAUUAUUUCCUAAGCUACAUCAUUAAAAGUGAGUUGCAGGGUAUGUACAUUUUCAAGGCUUUGCUGUAUUGACACAUAUUCCUCAAAAACCACUGUGCUAAUUUAUUCUCCUCCAGCAGUAUAAGACAGCAUUUCUCUGAACCUUUCCUAACACUGUGCAUUAUUAUUAUGACUAAAUGAAUAUUUUGUCACUUUGAUUUUAAAAAAUAGCAUCUCACUGUUUAAUUGGAUUUAUUUUAUUUCUAAUGAAAAGUUGCAUACUUGUUGGUCAUUAUUUUUUUGAAAAUUACUAAACAUUAUUAUCCAGUAGCCAAAAAUACAAAGUUGUUAUUCUGCUUUUUCAGUUUUAUAUGAGAGAAAUAAAGGCAUUUAAACAGUGGAAAUUAGAUUCUUGCAAGUCCCUAGGAAGAGUAUAUAAUCUGGAAAAGCAGAAGAGAGCUGAAAGCUGAAACUUAGGGUUUAUCUUGAGAUUUGUCAAGUAAUUAAUUAGUCACUUAGUUCUGCUAUAAAGUGAGACUGUCAUCUCUUCAUUCCCCUCACAUACAAUAGCCUCUCAAUAAAGAUGUGUGAAUCAGUUAACUGCUAUUUGCUGUAGGUAGAUAGAGGUAACCCAUGCUUGCUGCUGUAAGUAUAAAAGCCUGCAGUUCCUAUUGAGGACAGCAACUGAUUUUUCCAAGGCCUGAUUGCUUCUACAAAAAUUUUUUUUUAACAGGGAAUCAAAGAUGAACAAUGGUGUACUGACGUUUUACAUAUUGUUACUAUGCUGUGUAUGAAUGAGGCUAUUCAGGUAAAUCUAACAUAUAACUAAUGAGGACUUCUGCUCUUGUAAUAAUGGAUAGGAAAAUUGGGCUGACCAUCCCACUUAAGGCAACUAGAAAGGGUGGAAAAUAUUUUAAAAAUCCAAAGGCAUCAGCGAGCACAUGAGUAUUUUUUUUUAAGAAUAAAUAGACCAGGAUCACUGAGAAGAUGGAGGCCCUAGGAGGUGGACUUAAUGUUUUGGGCCACUGCACUCAUCAAACUUAAUGAGUUUCCUGCACUCAUCAAACUUGAAGGAAGCACUUCAGAGGCUGAUGGGUAUUUUGACAGCCUUCCAGAAGUAGGGGACAGAGCCUGUCUAAGGGGAGUAGACCUGGUGAAUGCCCCUCACUUUGGUUUGAAGCCCUUUACACCCCAGGAAUAGGGGUGAACAAGAAGUAGGAAAGAGAAAGACUUUCCUAGGGGAUUGCAGCUCAGCUUCCAAUUAUCAGAAUCACUGCAAAUGGUGACUGCAGCCAUGAAAUUAAAAGACACUUGC